rnacentral:lncRNA from 1 species
AUCCGCAGUCACGUGGAACUAUGGGGCGUCCUUACUCCCAGUCUUUCCAGAUGUUCUUCCCACUCCUCAACUGCUCCUGGCUCAGAAACCCUGCACACCUGGAAGAAAGUGAGAACCAGUUUUUCAACAAACACAUUGCACAGACUUAUUGUGAACCCCGGGUGGAAUCAAGCAUCGGAGGAAGAGAACGUGAUGGCUCUGAGGUCCAAGUAAAAGAUAAUAUUUGCAACCAACUCACUGGAGUUGACCAUCAAAACUCUUUUCCAGGCACACUCAGGCAUCGCAGAAAAUAAUAUGUAUUGUGGAAUCCCUCACUUGAUGAAUAAUCUAGAUGAUCAGAAAUGUGGCACUAUUUUGGCUUUCAGGUGGAAAAGCACCCUGAAUCCAGCUUCCUGCUAUGAAUGAAUACUGAGCUUGGGUUGGUGGAAAUUGAUUUUCGAGAUAAAGAAUCCAGCCAGGACUGUGAAGCCCCAGGGAAUGGCUGCACUUCAAGUCAGAAGGAGCCUGGGUCCCUGAAUCAUCAUGUGGAAGGCUCUCCACCCAGUUCAAUGGUGCAAUGGACCACAAGCAGGAACUUAAUUUAGAAUGUGCUUAUUUUGUUAGAUUUUGUAAUUAAAAAAUGGAUCCCACUCUGACUGAAUCAGAGAUGUUGAAGUCAUUGAUCUGGGAGGGUAUGUUCCUGGGAGUGGGUGGCUGAGGUGAGAUUUCAAACAAGGUUGUUGAGGAAGAGGAGUUCAAGUGACUGAGAGGACAUAUUGUUGGAUAAAUUGUGCGUGCGUGUGUGUGUGUGUGUGUGUGUGUGUUGAAAUCACCAAGAAUAGGGAAAGAAGUGUAUAAGAGAGUGUGGCAGUGAGCCCAGAGCUAAAAGAAAUCAUGAGCAGGGAGUAAUUCACGAGCAGAAAGUAGAAGCAACGAGAGGCAGUUAAUGAGAGAAGCAGCUGAGGGAUUUUAGCAAGGGAUGGG